rnacentral:rRNA from 1 species
AUUGAACGCUGGCGGCAUGCUUUACACAUGCCAGUCGAACGGCAGCGCGGGCUUCGGCCUGGCGGCGAGUGGCGAACGGGUGAGUAAUACAUCGGAACGUGCCCAGUAGUGGGGGAUAGCUCGGCGAAAGCCGGAUUAAUACCGCAUACGACCUGAGGGUGAAAGCGGGGGAUCUUCGGACCUCGCGCUAUUGGAGCGGCCGAUGGCAGAUUAGCUAGUUGGUGGGGUAAAGGCCUACCAAGGCGACGAUCUGUAGCUGGUCUGAGAGGACGACCAGCCACACUGGGACUGAGGCGCGGCCCAGACUCCUACGGGAGGCAGCAGUGGGGAAUUUUGGACAAUGGGCGAAAGCCUGAUCCAGCAAUGCCGCGUGUGUGAUGAAGGCCUUCGGGUUGUAAAGCACUUUUGGCGGGAACGAAAAGGACUGUGCCAAUACCACGGUUCGAUGACGGUACCCGCAGAAUAAGCACCGGCUAACUACGUG